CACACCUGGAGAGAGACACACAUACCUUGACAGACACGCACACACCUUGACAGACGCGCACAUACCAUGAGAGUCACACACAUACCGUGACAGACACACACCCAUCAUGACACACAGACACACACCAUGACAGACAGAAACACAUACACUCACACUAACAGACUGACACAUAAUAUAGCUACCUGUAGGCAACUGGCCAGGGAGUCGUGCAUGACAGACAG